rnacentral:sRNA from 1 species
AAUAAAUGCAGUAAUACAGGGGCUUUUCAAGACUGAAGUCUAGCUGAGACAAAUAGUGCGAUUACGAAAUUUUUUAGACAAAAAUAGUCUACGAGGUUUUAGAGCUAUGCUGUUUUGAAUGGUCCCAAAACGGGUGGUUGGCUGACGCAUCGCAAUAUUAAGUUUUAGAGCUAUGCUGUUUUGAAUGGUCCCAAAACAGGAAUAUCCGCAAUAAUUAAUUGCGCUCUGUUUUAGAGCUAUGCUGUUUUGAAUGGUCCCAAAACUAAAUUUGUUUAGCAGGUAAACCGUGCUUUGUUUUAGAGCUAUGCUGUUUUGAAUGGUCUCCAUUCAACAUUGCCGAUGAUAACUUGAGAAAGAGGGUUAAUACCAGCAGUCGGAUAC